rnacentral:rRNA from 1 species
CCCCUAGACGCCCUGGGCUGCACACGUCAUACAAUGUCGGCCGGAACGCGCGCUUUAUUGCACUGCCGAGAGGUAGCGUGCGAAACGUCGCAGUAGCCGACACGGUCGGGAUCGAGGAUUGCAACUGUUCCUCGUGAACGCGGAACGCCUCGUAGGGGCGUGUCAUCAACGUGCCCCGAAUAAGUCCCUGUCCUUUGUACACACCGCCCGUCACUACGGCCGAGGCAUCGUCGGCGUCAGGAGACCGGACGUGGCUGCUGCGGAGUCUCUUCGCCGGCAGCUGCGGAACGUUCCCGAACGCUGGUGGUUGGAGGGCGUAAAAGUCGUAACA